UACCACCUGGCUACCUGUAUAACAUAGAGUAUUUACAAAUUUCAAAAAAAUUGUAAAUACUUUAUGUUAUACAGGUAGCCAAGUGGUA
rnacentral:miRNA from 1 species